rnacentral:rRNA from 1 species
GAUGAACGCUAGCGGGAGGCCUAACACAUGCAAGCCGAGCGGUAGAGUUUCUUCGGAAACUUGAGAGCGGCGCACGGGUGCGUAACACGUGUGCAACCUACCUUUAUCUGGGGGAUAGCCUUUCGAAAGGAGGAUUAAUACCCCAUAAUAUAAUGAUUGGCAUCAAUUAUUAUUGAAAACUCCGGUGGAUAGAGAUGGGCACGCGCAAGAUUAGAUAGUUGGUGAGGUAACGGCUCACCAAGUCAAUGAUCUUUAGGGGUCCUGAGAGGGAGAUCCCCCACACUGGUACUGAGACACGGACCAGACUCCUACGGGAGGCAGCAGUGAGGAAUAUUGAACAAUGGGUGAGAGCCUGAUCCAGCCAUCCCGCGUGAAGGAUGACGGUCCUAUGGAUUGUAAACUUCUUUUGUAUAGGGAUAAACCUACCCUCGUGAGGGUAGCUGAAGGUACUGUACGAAUAAGCACCGGCUAACUCCGUG